GUCCUGUGAUGACCUGUGGCGGAAGGUAAACCGAAGGUGACUGCGGUUAACGUCCUCGAUGGGAAUGGCCACCUUCAAGAAUUGAAAAAGAAGUUUAAGCACUGUUAUCAAUAUCAUCCAGCGUAACAGCUUUAUUCAACUGGAGCUAUCAGAAGUUUUCACGAAACCAAUUUCAAUGAAUGAGAGACUUUUAAUUCACAAUUCAACAUCUUGAGAGAAAAGAGAAAUAUGCAACUGCGAAGUUCUCACGGGAGAAGUCCUGAGCACACUGCAAGGCAUCCUGGGACCACAGUCUCAAGGGUCACAGAGGAAGGGACUUCGGGGCUGAGACCUGCAGGAAGUGAGGGAACUGCAGGCCUGUCCUCACCCAGGGGAGGUGGAGCCCCCAGACGCUGUGAUAUGAAAUUCCAGAUCAUGGGAGGGAGAGUUUGAAGAAGGAAGAACCACCAAUAGAAAGCGGUCCCCAAAGAGGUAUCGGGGAUGGCACCCAGACAGGAGCACAUGUACCACUGCCCAGAAUGUGCAUUUCACUAGACAAGUGACCACAAAAGUUUUCACUGUGACUUGAAAAUGCCCACUCCUCCCAGAAGUUCAAGGAACUGGACCCCCGGACAUGAGCCCAAGGUUCGCCGGCUUCAAAGAUCCUGGCCACACACCAGUGAGCCUGGCAGAGGCAGGCUUCUGGUCCUCUUUCCCAGUGAUUUCCUGCUGGCCUGACACCAAACUCCACUUUCCCUGAAUGACUCUAAUAAAAGUUUAUCAAAACUCCGAUGACUGCAAAAGAAACUGGAGAUCCGAGGGC
rnacentral:lncRNA from 10 species